GAUGAACGCUGGCGGCGUGCCUAAUACAUGCAAGUCGAGCGAACGGACGAGAAGCUUGCUUCUCUGAUGUUAGCGGCGGACGGGUGAGUAACACGUGGAUAACCUACCUAUAAGACUGGGAUAACUUCGGGAAACCGGAGCUAAUACCGGAUAAUAUUUUGAACCGCAUGGUUCAAAUGUGAAAGACGGUCUUGCUGUCACUUAUUGAUGGAUCCGCGCUGCAUUAGCUAGUUGGUAAGGUAACGGGUUACCAAGGCAACGAUGGAUAGCCGACCUGAGAGGGGGAUGGGCCACACUGGAACUGAGACCCGGUCUAGAGUCCUAAGGGAGGCAGCAGUAGGGAAUCGUCCGCAAUGGGCGAAAGCCGGACGGAGGAACGCCGGGUGAGUGAUGAAGGUCUUCGGAUCGUAAAACUCUGUUAUUAGGGAAGAACAUAUGUGUAAGUAACUGUGCACAGCGUGACGGUACCUAAUCAGAAAGCCACGGCUAACUACGUG
rnacentral:rRNA from 1 species